CUAGAGGUCCGACCCGGAAGUCCUACCAGCUCCCCUAGGCGCCGGCGACCGCCUCCAAGAUGGCGGCUGCAGUGGGCGGGCCCAAGACACGUGGAAACACCGAACGGCCCCAAAGGAACGCAAGUUAAAGAUAUAGAACCUGAGGAUACAGAGGGCCAGCUGUAAACUCUGACAAGCUGUCACAAACCAGAGGAAACGAGAGAGAUGUGACAACUAAAUGCAAUGUGGGACACUGAAGAGGAUCCUAGAAUAGAAGGAGACAUUAGGAGGAAAGAUCCAUGUUUCCAUGAUGUCAUCAAAGAUCAACACUUUCUAAGUUUCCACAUUAUCAUCCUUAAGAAGUUGGCUAUCACAUUUCUGUUUGUUUCCUCGUGGUCUCAAGGUAGAUGCUCCAGCUCCAGGCAUCACACUCUCAUACAGCCGCAUUCGAGACAGGUAGAAAAUUGACAGCUGACAUGAAGACUUUCCUUUUAUAAGGGAGAAAAAUAAUGCAUACUCCCAUUUUUUACGUAGCAGUUAACAAAGAUUCUCUCCUUGAUCAGUGAACUCCAGACACAUACCUCUGAGCACAAAUCCUAUUUAAACUACAGAUUCUCAACACAAAUGAUUUUAUCCACCCAUGUCGCCCAACAUUAAAAGAUUUAAACACUAACAUAGUUUCACAGCUGUAAACUAAAGAAAUCCUAAGCCCCUCCUGACUGAAUGGAACCCCUUUUGGUCAAGAGGGCUCAAGAAAAAGCUUAAAAACUUAGUUCCCAGCUAAGUUCUCUUCUGAUGGGAGGUCAGACAUGCCUCAUUAUACCACUAAACUCUUUUUUUUUUUUUUUUUUUUUAACUGAGUCUUGCUCUGUUGCGCAGGCUGGAGUGCAGUGGUGGAAUCUCGGCUUACUACAUCCUCCACCUCCCAGGUUCAAGCUAUUCUCCUGUCUCAGCCUCCUGAGUAGCUGGAACUACAGGCACGUGCCACCACACCCAGCUAAUUUUUUGUAUUUUUAUUAAAGAUGGGGUUUCACCUUGUUGGCCAGGAUAGUCUCAAUCUCCUAACCUUGUGAUCUGUCCAUCUUGGCCUCCCAUAGUACGGUCGUGAACCACUGCACCUGGCCUAUACCCUCUCUUACAGUUUAAACACAACUGGCCAGCAUUGAUGUUAAAACAGAGACCAGGAGACUGACAGAGAAGAUUCUUUGUGGCAAUAAGAUACAAAAAUUAUAAAGAAGACUUAAGGCCAUGCCAGGCAAGAGUUAAGUCACUCCAAGAAAAAGUUCUGGUCUAAUGGCUACAAGGGUUUUCUUUUUCUGUAGCAGCCAAACAAGCACUGACCUCCACAUAAGCAAUAGUAAAGCAGUUACCACCCAUGCACCACCAGACGCCAUCUAACCAACCUGCUCUUCCACAAUGACAGAGCAGGAGCAUUGCCAUCUUAGAAAAGCCCCUCAUUCUAAAGUUCACCUUAAUAAAAAAAACACCUAAAUCCAAAGGGCAUCAGCCUAAGGGCUAAGGCCAGCAUGACCAAAAACCACAAAUAACAUCUCCAACCAGAAACAUCCCAAACUCCUCCCCGAUCAGAGACCUGCUAACCCCAAGAUAAACCCCCCUCCAGCUGGGAAGAUUCUAGCCCUGAGAUAACUCCUCUCUGGGCUAGAAAGAUGUCUUCCCCAAGAUGCCUGCCUCCCCGCCUCCCAGAGAGAUUCCAACCCACCAUAAAUGUCUCCACACACAUAAACAUUCCAAGCUUGCCAUAAGCCCCCUCACCCUACAACCAAUAUAUAAUCUUAGUCUGUAAGAGAAAGCACUCCUGACCAAAGUGGGCCAGGAGCUCCCUCAGGUUUCAUCUAAAGUAAACCUGUCUUCAACUGCCA